rnacentral:rRNA from 1 species
AUAUCAGUCAUGCAUAGCAUAUCAAUAAGCGGAGGAAAAGAAACUAACAAGGAUUCCCUUAGUAACGGCGAGUGAAGCGGGAAGAGCUCAAAUUUGAAAUCUUCAAGGUUCUACCUUGACGAAUUGUAGUUUAUAGAAGUGUUUUCUGUUAGUGGAGUGGCAAAAGUUCUUUGGAAUAGGACAUCAUAGAGGGUGAGAAUCCCGUAUUUGGUCAUUCCUCCUAGCGUUGUGAUACACUUUCAACGAGUCGGAUUGUUUGGGAAUGCAGUCCAAAAUGGGUGGUAAAUUUCAUCUAAAGCUAAAUAUUGGCGAGAGACCGAUAGCGAACAAGUACCGUGAGGGAAAGAUGAAAAGAACUUUGAAAAGAGAGUUAAACAGUACGUGAGAUUGUCAAAAGGGAAGCGUUUGACACCAGUGUUGUUUUUCCGAAAAUCAAUUACGAAUGUUUUAUUUUUGAGGAGUUAUGACUUCAUCGGCUUGCUCCUUUCUUUAUGAAACUUUCUUAAUGCACUUUUCGGCUAACAAGUCAACAUCAAUUUCUUUUGUUGUAAAAGGGUAUGAGGAAGGUGGCUUUCUUUUCGGAGAAAGUGUUUAUAGCCUUGUGCCUCUGCAAUCAGGAGAGAUUGAGGUCUGCAGCGUAGAUCCUUCGGGGUUAGAUACGUUUGUGCUAAGUUAUAGCUUUUCAUAGACAACUUGUUGACUAUGUUUAGUCUUGUAGCUUACUCGCUGACGCUAUUUUACCUACGCUUAGGAUGUUGAUCUCUCACAGUCGAGC